AGCAUCAUUGCAACAUUAGCUCUGGAAUAUGAAAAUAUUUACGUUUCUAGCGACAAUAUUGGCUUUAGUAGCCUUAGCUUUGGGUUCUCCUGAGCCUUUGCCAGAACCUCAAGGAGGCGGCGGAGGCGGUGGUGGAGGCUCCUUUGGCGGUGGCGGCGGUGGUGGAGGCGGUGGUGGCGGAAAAUGAGUUUUGCUAACUGCUUACUGCUUACCGUUUACGAUUGUAACAAAAAUUAAAAACUAAAAACAAUAAAAUUAAAAAAAAAAAAAAAAAA